AGAGUUUGAUCAUGGCUCAGGACGAACGCUGGCGGCGUGCUUAACACAUGCAAGUCGAACGAGGUCCACGGUGUAGCAAUACACUUGAAGAUCUAGUGGCGAACGGGUGCGUAACACGUGAGGAACUUGUCCCGGUCUCUGGGAUAACAGUUGGAAACGACUGCUAAUACCGGAUGACGUCGGAGCAUCGCAUGGUGCGCUGACGAAAGGGUUACUGGAUCGGGAGAGCCUCGCGGCCUAUCAGCUUGUUGGUGGGGUAACGGCCCACCAAGGCAUCGACGGGUAGCUGGUCUGAGAGGAUGAUCAGCCACACUGGGACUGAGACACGGCCCAGACUCCUACGGGAGGCAGCAGUGGGGAAUCUUGCGCAAUGGGCGAAAGCCUGACGCAGCAACGCCGCGUGCGGGAUGAAGGCUCUCGGGUUGUAAACCGCUUUCAGCAGGAACGAAAAUGACGGUACUGCAGAAGAAG
rnacentral:rRNA from 1 species